CUACGGGAGGCACCAGAGAGGAAUAUUGCACAAUGGGGGGAACCCUGAUGCAGCAACGCCGCGUGGAGGAUGACGCAUUUCGGUGUGUAAACUCCUUUUAUAUGUCAAGAAAAUGACGGUAGCAUAUGAAUAAGCACCGGCUAACUCCGUGCCAGCAGCCGCGGUAAUACGGAGGGUGCAAGCGUUACUCGGAAUCACUGGGCGUAAAGGACGCGUAGGCGGGUUGGAAAGUCAGGUGUGAAAUCCUACAGCUUAACUGUAGAACUGCACUUGAAACUUCUAAUCUAGAGUAUGGGAGGGGGAGAUGGAAUUAGUGGUGUAGGGGUAAAAUCUGUAGAUAUCACUAGGAAUACCUAAAGCGAAGGCGAUCUCCUGGAACAUUACUGACGCUAAGGCGUGAAAGCGUGGGGAGCAAACAGGAUUAGAUACCCCUGUAGUC
rnacentral:rRNA from 1 species